AUUGAACGCUGGCGGCAGGCUUAACACAUGCAAGUCGAGCGGAGAUGAGGUGCUUGCACCUUAUCUUAGCGGCGGACGGGUGAGUAAUGCUUAGGAAUCUGCCUAUUAGUGGGGGACAACAUUCCGAAAGGAAUGCUAAUACCGCAUACGUCCUGCGGGAGAAAGCAGGGGAUCUUCGGACCUUGCGCUAAUAGAUGAGCCUAAGUCGGAUUAGCUAGUUGGUGGGGUAAAGGCCUACCAAGGCGACGAUCUGUAGCGGGUCUGAGAGGAUGAUCCGCCAAACUGGGACUGAGACACGGCCCAGACUCCUACGGGAGGCAGCAGUGGGGAAUAUUGGACAAUGGGGGGAACCCUGAUCCAGCCAUGCCGCGUGUGUGAAGAAGGCCUUAUGGUUGUAAAGCACUUUAAGCGAGGAGGAGGCUACUGAGACUAAUACUCUUGGAUAGUGGACGUUACUCGCAGAAUAAGCACCGGCUAACUCUGUGCCAGCCGCCGCGGUAA
rnacentral:rRNA from 1 species